AAUUUAACUGGAUUGAAUGCAUAUUAAUUGCAAAUAGAAGAUAGGCCACAAUUCUAACAGCUUUACAGUAUAAGUACAGUUUGCAGGAAUGAUGACAGUUCAUGAGAGGAUACAAAAAAUUUUUAUUUUUAUUUUUAAUUUCUUUUCACAGGUGGGCCAGGAUUGGUAGAUCCUUGUGAAAAGCGGCCUGUGGAUACCCUCACUUCUAUGGGGGAGCAACAGAGAGAGGACAUCACCUCCAGUGCCCAAUUUGCUCUGAGGCUCCUGGCGUUCCGUCAGAUCCACAAGGUUCUGGGCAUGGACCCCCUGCCGCAGGUCAACCCCCGCUUCAAUGUCCGCAACAGCCGCAAGCGUCGCCGCGACAACAGCGAGGGGACGGACAGCUUCGAGGGCGAAGGCAAGAAGGACAAGAAGGACUACGACUAGAAGGACUUCUAAAGCUUCUGUUAUCGUUUACUCUCACACAAAGAUGUACUAACAUGUUGUAUGCGCCGUCUCCUGUGUGCUGGCUGAAGUCCAGUGUGGCUGUUUUUUUUCCUUUAUAAGCUACAGAUGUGUCGGUGUAACUGCAGCCUCACUCUGCUCUGUAAUACACAAACUAAAAUGUCAGGUUGUGUACUGUUUUAGUUGUAGAUUUCUUCAAGUUUGGCUUCUCUAGAUAACAGCGU